GCCUCAUUGGUCUAGUGGUAUGAUUCCUACUUUGGGUGUAGGAGGUCCCGGGUUCAAAUCCCGGAUGAGCCC
rfam:Daphnia magna strain Xinb3 scaffold02962, whole genome shotgun sequence.